GUCUUUUUGUUAAUUAUUUAAGGUUUGGCCUGCUCCAUGAUUAAAUUAAAUAGCCGCAGUAUUUUGACUGUGCAAAGGUAGCAUAAUCAUUAGUUUUUUAAUUGAAAGCUGGAAUGAAUGGUCGGAUGAGAAAGUAGCUGUCUCAUUAUAAUUUGGGUUGAAUUUUAUUUUUAAGUCAAAAAGCUUAAAUGUCAUAGAAAGACGAGAAGACCCUAUAGAGUUUAAUAGGUUAGUGGGUUAAUUAUUUUAGGGUUUUAAUAUAGUUAAUUGAUUACUUGUUUAGUUGGGGUGACAUGAGAAUUUAAUUAACUUCUUAUAAUUUUAACAUUAAUUAAUGAGUGAAUGAUCCUGAUUUUUGGAUUUGAAGAGAAAAUUACCUUAGGGAUAACAGCGUAAUCUUUUUGGAGAGUUCUUAUCGAUAAAAGGGAUUGCGACCUCGAUGUUGGAUUAAAGUUAAGUUUUGGUGUAGAAGCUAAAAUUUUAAGUCUGUUCGACUUUUGAAACUUUACAUGAUCUGAGUUUAAACCGGCGUGAGCCAGGUUGGUUUCUAUCUUUUAUAGAUAAAAUAUUUUAGUACGAAAGGACCAGAUAUUUAAAUAAUAUUUUUGAUUUGAAUAAAAUUGUUAUUUUGGCAGAUUAGUGCAAUAGAUUUAGAAUCUUUAUAUGUAAUUGUAUUACAAAUAACAAUUUAUUUUGUUGAUUUAGUUUUAUUGUUUAUUUCAGUGUUAAUUUUAAUCGUGUGUGUUUUGGUGGGGGUAGCAUUUUUAACUCUUUUGGAACGUAAGGUUUU
rnacentral:rRNA from 1 species